UACGUAGGUGGCAAGCGUUGUCCGGAAUUAUUGGGCGUAAAGCGCGCGCAGGUGGUUUCUUAAGUCUGAUGUGAAAGCCCACGGCUCAACCGUGGAGGGUCAUUGGAAACUGGGGAACUCGAGUGCAGAAGAGGAAAGUGGAAUUCCAAGUGUAGCGGUGAAAUGCGUAGAGAUUUGGAGGAACACCAGUGGCGAAGGCGACUUUCUGGUCUGUAACUGACACUGAGGCGCGAAAGCGUGGGGAGCGAACAGG
rnacentral:rRNA from 1 species